UAAGUACCUAAGUGCCUUUGUAAAUCUAGCCCAAGGGCUUCCAUUGCUCAAUACCUAUCCCUGGGGCCAAAUCUGGGAGUUUCUAACUUGUUUUGACUCUUUUUUUUUUUCCUCCUGCACAUUUUCCCCAGAGCCUGAAGUGUGACAUGAAGCAUGGUGGUUAAAAGCUUUUACAUGAUAUUCAGAAGUUAAAAGGGAAUAAAAAAACAGGGCUAAAAAUGAGCCAGGCCUUUGAUCCACGCGUGGGAAUAUGAAAUCCAGGAUGCAAUUCCUCCUAAGCCGCACACAACAUAUGUCUCCGUGUAGUGACAUGGGAGCUAACUGACUGAGCUAGUUUGAGUGCAACAAGCAGUAUGGCCACAGUAGCGAGGCACUCCUGCCCAGCUAAUCUACUCUGUGUUGUGCUGUGCAGGCACACCCGAAGUUACAGGGUCUACCCUGCAAGUCCUUUGUGCAUGAAACUUCCACUUAAGUCCGUGGGACUUUCCUAAGUAGAGCUCAGAAUUUGGCUCACAAGUCUAAUCUGAAAAGGGUCCAUGGAAAUCAAUGGGAUGUCUGGAUUUAUUUGCACCCAUGUACUUAAGAUCCAAAUACGGCCCAGUAUCUCCACUGCCAAUAAGGGACUGUGCUGAGUUCAACAAUCUUUGAUGCACUACCGAACGUUACAAAAGGAAGUCACCUUCCCCCACCCCACAUUACAGAGAAAACAGGAACUGGGAGCCCACAGCAUAGUUAAUUAACAAUUGCACUGGAUUGCAUUUGUGAUUUGAACGACCAACUUUGAGGAAAGCUGGGGGCACAGAUUGUGAGAGAAAAAUACUAUCUGUUUUUGAAACAGAGAUUAUCAGAAGCAAGCGGUCAACUGUUCCUAAUAUCUACCAGCGAUAUGCAUGGAAACCAGCACUACCAACCCCACCUCCAACAGACAACACCUUGUCCUAAGGCACCAGUGCAGUGGCCAGCACAUUUUUAUUCAACCUUUAGUUAAGAAUCCAGCUCUUUAGAGAGCCUGUUGCCUUGUCUGAUUAUCGUCUAAGGGUACCCACAAGAUACACUGACCAAUUAGGGAUGACUGUCCCAAAUGCAACUGCUUCUGGCUGCUUCAACAGAAUAUACAUUCAGCAUCAGAUCAGUUCUAGAGUGCAUGUUAACAGCACAGGAAAACCAGGCAGAGGAAGCAUGUGCAGUAGGUACAAAGAGGCACGUCUGGAAACGAGUUCUGUUGCAGGGUGCUGGUUGCAACCUGUGUGUUUGAAGGCAUGGUAAUAUCUUAUCUGUACUUGUCAACUGUUACCUUUUUUUUUUUUUUCCAACUGGCGGGGUGAGUGCAUGUGUGUGGAAUGAAUAUGCAGCAUAUAGAUUUAAGAAAUGUUUCUUCUAUUUUACCCAAGCACCUUAUUAUCAAAAAAAUCCCCAGCCCAAGUCACUGCCUUGUGUAAUGGAAUAUAUCAUAUAUUUGCAAGCAUGAAAAAAAAGUAAAGUAAAAGCUUUCAAAAGCUCAUCAAAGGAAGGAAAUAAACAAUGCCAUUAAAAGUGUAUUUUAAAGAAAAAAAAAAUCACCUGUUUGGGGGACUGGGUUUGCAGGAUUCGAGCUCAGUCUUGAAAUCUCCCCAGACAAACUGCCAGCAAGACGUUGCCUUCUCUGUGUGGCUUUCUUCCACUUUCUCACUUGGUUGCUGUCUGCUGAAAUAGAUACUUCUCCUUUUUUUUCUUUCUCUGUUUUUUGCCCCUGUUCCCCUCCCUGAUUUUUCAAUCAGAUUAUUUGUGUCAAAAUCUGGUGGUGAAGAAACAACCAAUGGAGAAGCAGAGCCCAGACAGUAUUUGCUUAUCAAAACUUUCCAGGACUUUGAAAACUUGAAGUGAAUUCACAUUACCCAGCUCUGAAGUUCAGGAGUAGCUUACUGAACUCACUGGGGCAAUGGGACUUUCUACUGGAAUAUUCUUUUGUCCCAUGGGCAGAAAGCAUGACAAAGGGAAAUAAGGUACCAACAGGAAUUUGCAAACCAGGAAUGGCUCUUAAGGAACAUGUAUUCUUAUAUACAAACUCAUCCUUACAUCUUCCACGUACAGACCCACCAUCCCUCUCGCACACACACGUUAGCAUCAGAAAACCGUCUGACAAACUAAUACACGCAAGAUUAUUUUUGUUUCAAAACAUAUCUUCAUCUCUAAUUUCUAUGGAAAAAAAGAAUUAGAUAGUGAUAUCCACACAUUAGCAACUGAAAAACCGUCAUUCAUUUUCCUAAAUGUAGGAAUGUAUGCCACAUGUACAUUGCACCUUUGGUGCGUGAACACGCAGCUGUGUAUAUCGAUGGAUGCGCAUACAUCUGCAACUCUGCAUGGUUGCAUAUAGACAUAUGUUAUUAUUUGGGUAUAUAACGUAUUAAUAUAUCAUUUGGAUAAUGCAUGCUUAUUAAUAAACCUGUCUCCCAUAUGCUUUUCAGCUAGUGAGUCACGAUAAGAAUUUUAAUGUUUGUAACUUCCUUUCUCCCAAGGAUCAGAAAGCACUUUACAAAUAUGAGAUAACUGACCCUCAUAAUGCCCUUGUGAAACAAUUAGUUAAUGGAGUAAUUGAAGCAGCAGUAAAGUGAGGUGCCCGAAGUCAUGUGGUGAUCCUGCAGUAGAGAUGGGGACAGAAUCAGCAAGUUCUGGAUACUGGUGACUUGCAAGAGGCAUUUGAAGGAUUACAUCUCCCACUACAAAAACAAGCAUUGUAAUGGAAAACCAAGAUGUGCGCUGGAACUUCAGGGUUUCGUAUGUAGGGCAUUACAGGCAUUAAAGGAAAAGGAAAAAUGACAAGCUGACGAAAGGGCUGACAUGAUAUUGCAUGAAGCACUUUGGAGCCAGCUUCUGAAGCAGCUUUAUGCACAAACCUCUCCAUGAUUUAGAGUGGACGUGGCUACAGCAUCUGAUUCUUGCUGGGGAAAACAGACCACCCAAUCAGGCUGGCUCUCUUGGGGGUUUGCUGCUUGCUGGGUAAAGUAGCUGCAGAAGGGACCCAGGAAUACGCUCAAUAAAACCUUGCCUUUGGUUCUUUGUCCUGAUUAUACUCUCUGUACUGUUCUCACUGAAGCGUGGGAGAACUUGCCUGUUCUUUCUGGAGAAGAAGGGGAGGGCCAGUGGCCCGUGAGUGGUGCCAGCUUAUGUCCAAAUUAGAGCAGUCUGCUAGCAAAGAGUGGUCUUAACCCGGAUGGUAGUCCAUGCCCAAUGAUGGGCCAGCCAACUUGAACUGAAAGCAACACUGCACUCAGCUUAAAAGUUUUGGUUGUGGACAAAUCAUAACCAGGUAUACUUUGCAGUGAAUAUAAACCCUGCAGUUGACAGUGCUCCCAGAGACUUGCCAGGGAUCCACACCCUAGAUGAACUUCAAGAUGCAUUACCUUUCUUCUUUGAUCUCUGCAGAGCUAUAGAAGCUGAAAGGUAUAUGCUUCUAUUCCUGUCUUUGGCUGACUCACACACCAUCUCAUCAGUUUUCCCUUGCAAGUUCCAGGACCAGAAGAAAAAUUCUCUGUAGGGCCCUGGAAGAAGGAAGAAAGGCUAGCAUGGAUGACUGAAUUGGAACUGUAUGGGCUUGUGCCAGUUUCUGGUACACUGAAAACAUGGCUAGUAUUGCUUUUCUUGAGGACAGCUUAAUUCUAUGUAUGGUGUAUUCUGAGGGCACAGCCUCAGACUGAAGAAUCAAUCCAGGGAUGUAUAAGGUACCCAUGUUGGUCUGAGACGAAAAGAAAUGCAAAAAUCUUGAACUCUUGGUUC